GCUGGCGGCGUGCCUAAUACAUGCAAGUCGAACGGUCUUUCUAUGGAAGCUUGCUCCAUGAGAAGAUAGUGGCGAACGGGUGAGUAACACGUGGGUAACCUGCCAUAAGAGGGGAUAACAUCCGGAAACGGGUGCUAAUACCGCAUAGUUUUCUUGAUCGCAUGAUUGAGAAAGGAAAGACGGCCUUUGUGCUGUCGCUUAUGGAUGGACCCGCGGCGUAUUAGUUAGUUGGUGAGGUAACGGCUCACCAAGACGAUGAUACGUAGCCGACCUGAGAGGGUGAUCGGCCACAUUGGGACUGAGACACGGCCCAAACUCCUACGGGAGGCAGCAGUAGGGAAUCUUCCGCAAUGGACGAAAGUCUGACGGAGCAACGCCGCGUGAGUGAAGAAAAGGUUUUCGGAUCGUAAAACUCUGUUGUCAGAGAAGAACAAGUUGGAGAGUAACUGCUCCAGCCUUGACGGUAUCUGACCAGAAAGCCACGGCUAACUACGUGCCAGCCGCUGC
rnacentral:rRNA from 1 species